CCUACGGGAGGCAGCAGUGGGGAAUAUUGCACAAUGGGCGAAAGCCUGAUGCAGCGACGCCGCGUGAGGGAUGACGGCCUUCGGGUUGUAAACCUCUUUCAGUAGGGAAGAAGCGAAAGUGACGGUACCUGCAGAAGAAGCGCCGGCUAACUACGUGCCAGCAGCCGCGGUAAUACGUAGGGCGCAAGCGUUAUCCGGAAUUAUUGGGCGUAAAGAGCUCGUAGGCGGUUUGUCGCGUCUGCCGUGAAAGUCCGGGGCUCAACUCCGGAUCUGCGGUGGGUACGGGCAGACUAGAGUGAUGUAGGGGAGACUGGAAUUCCUGGUGUAGCGGUGAAAUGCGCAGAUAUCAGGAGGAACACCGAUGGCGAAGGCAGGUCUCUGGGCAUUAACUGACGCUGAGGAGCGAAAGCAUGGGGAGCGAACAGGAUUAGAUACCCUGGUAGUCCAUGCCGUAAACGUUGGGCACUAGGUGUGGGGGACAUUCCACGUUUUCCGCGCCGUAGCUAACGCAUUAAGUGCCCCGCCUGGGGAGUACGGCCGCAAGGCUAAACUCAAGAUAGUGCGNGNGAGNGCGACGACGACGACGACGGAGGAGGAG
rnacentral:rRNA from 1 species